UACGGGGGGGGCAAGCGUUGUUCGGAAUUACUGGGCGUAAAGGGCUCGUAGGUGGCCAACUAAGUCAGACGUGAAAUCCCUCGGCUUAACCGGGGAACUGCGUCUGAUACUGGAUGGCUUGAGUUUGGGAGAGGGAUGCGGAAUUCCAGGUGUAGCGGUGAAAUGCGUAGAUAUCUGGAAGAACACCCGUGGCGAAAGCGGCUCUCUGGAACGGUACUGACGCUGAGACGCGAAAGCGUGGGGAGCGAACAGG
rnacentral:rRNA from 1 species